rnacentral:rRNA from 1 species
GACGAACGCUGGCGGCGUGCUUAACACAUGCAAGUCGAACGGAAAGGCCCUGCUUUUGUGGGGUGCUCGAGUGGCGAACGGGUGAGUAACACGUGAGUAACCUGCCCUUGACUUUGGGAUAACUUCGGGAAACUGGGGCUAAUACCGGAUAGGAGCUCCUGCUGCAUGGUGGGGGUUGGAAAGUUUCGGCGGUUGGGGAUGGACUCGCGGCUUAUCAGCUUGUUGGUGGGGUAGUGGCUUACCAAGGCUUUGACGGGUAGCCGGCCUGAGAGGGUGACCGGCCACAUUGGGACUGAGAUACGGCCCAGACUCCUACGGGAGGCAGCAGUGGGGAAUAUUGCACAAUGGGCGGAAGCCUGAUGCAGCAACGCCGCGUGCGGGAUGACGGCCUUCGGGUUGUGAACCGCUUUCGCCUGUGACGAAGCGUGAGUGACGGUAAUGGGUAAAGAAGCACCGGCUAACUACGUG